rnacentral:misc_RNA from 1 species
AAGUCGUAACAAGGUUUCCGUAGGUGAACCUGCGGAAGGAUCAUUAACAAAUCGUGUGUGUGUGUAAGCGCGACUGCUAGUAUGCUGUUGCUCUUACAUACAUAUAUAUAUAUUUACCCGUACUAGCCGGACGAGCUAGAUUACAGGUCUCUUUUGGUGGUUGUUUGAGUACACACUGCCAAGAAGAUAUAUUAACGCUUGACUGUUUGACAGAGUGAGUAACAUGCCAUAUUAAUAUACAACUUUUAACAAUGGAUCUCUUGGCUCUU